rnacentral:antisense_RNA from 1 species
CCUUACGCUGGGAGGAGAUGCUGCCACCUAGGUUACUUGUAGGACCCUUUACGGCAACCUCCCUUGCCAGGAACUAUUUAGGAACAUUCUGCAGUGAAGUAGAAGAGACAGGGAUAUCCCAGAAGGUUAUGCAAAACAUCAAGAGAAGAUGAGAGGAGUCUAUAUGUCAGAAUACACACUGCCCACCUUGCCCAACAGUAGAAAAAUAUAAGAAGAGAAAAACAUUAAAAAAUGACAAGGAAAUUAAUGGAAGCAAUGUGAUGGUGUUUGGAGGUGGAGCCUUCAGAAGGUAAUUAAUGCCCUUGUAAGAAGAGGCCAGAGAGCUUGAUCACCUUCUUCCUGCCACGUGAGGAGCCAAGAAGCCGGCUGUCUGCAACCUGCAAGAGGACCCUCACUAGAAGCUAGCCAUACUGGCACCCUCAUCUUGGCUUUCCAACUUCCAGAACUGUGAGAAGUAUGUUUGUGGUUUAGUCAAUGGUCUAUGGUAAUUUGUUAUAGCAGUCCCAGCCAAGACAGUGCCUCAUUUACUACAUACCAUUUAUAUUAUUAUAUAGGCUCCUUUCAGAAACCCAUGUUCAAAUAAGAGAUAAGAUACUGAAACACAUAACACUUUCACUAGUUUUUAGUAUACAAAUAUUGAGAAAUA